UUGGAGGGCAAGUCUGGUGCCAGCAGCCGCGGUAAUUCCAGCUCCAAUAGCGUAUAUUAAUGUUGUUGCAGUUAAAAAGCUCGUAGUUGAAUUUCGGGAUCAAUAUAUCGGUCGUGCCUUUGGUACGUACUGGUAUCAUUGAUUUCUCCUUUCUGACGAAUCAUGAUGUCAUUAAUUUGGUGUUAUGAGGAGUUAGGACUGUUACUUUGAAAAAAUUAGAGUGUUUAAAGCAGGCAUUAGCUUGAAUACAUUAGCAUGGAAUAAUGAAAUAGGACGUUUGACCCUAUUUUGUUGGUUUUUAGGAUCGACGUAAUGAUUAAUAGGGAUAGUUGGGGGCAUUAGUAUUCAAUUGUCAGAGGUGAAAUUCUUGGAUUUAUUGAAGACUAACUACUGCGAAAGCAUUUGCCAAGGAUGUUUUCAUUAAUCAAGAACGAAAGUUAGGGGAUCGAAGACGAUCAGAUACCGUCGUAGUCUUAACCAUAAACUAUGCCGACUAGGGAUCGGAUGAUGUUAAUUUUAUAAUGACUCAUUCGGCGCCUUACGGGAAAC
rnacentral:rRNA from 1 species